ACGUCCUUACAAAAUCUGACAGCGUGUCACGUGACUUUAAAUAGAGGGGAGACGCACGGGGCGAAUAUGGUCGGUUAUGUGUUGUGUUUGUGUCACCAUAAAAAGCUGAUAUUCAGUCGUGUUUUUUGAUAUUUUUGUUAUUUCAUAAUCGAGUACCUUUUUAAAGGUCUAAUGGCUCCGUUCAGCUGUUGUGUGCAGACGGUGGAAAAAUUCGACAAGUAAACAUUUAUUUAAUCCAAAUUACUCAUAUUUCUAUGUAAAAUGUCACAUUAUUGUUUAAAUAAAUAAGUAAGAAACAAAA